rnacentral:tRNA from 1 species
AUCGAAAUAGUCAAGUUGGAAGAGCGUUAGACUAUAGAUAGAAAAGUCCCUGGUUCGAUUUCGGGUUCCAGCA